rnacentral:rRNA from 1 species
CUCAUUAAAUCAGUUAUAGUUUAUUUGAUGGUCUCUUUUGUUCUUUUUACCUACUUGGAUAACCGUGGUAAUUCUAGAGCUAAUACAUGCGCAAGGUCCCGAGCGGCGGGGGCAGGGCUUCACGGCCCUGUCCUCGCAUGCGCAGAGGGAUGUAUUUAUUAGGUUAAACAACCAGCUAUUUUUUCAUUUCUGGUGAUUCAUAGUAACUCUUUCGGAUCGCAUUCAUG